rnacentral:rRNA from 1 species
GAUGAACGCUGGCGGCGUGCCUAAUACAUGCAAGUCGAGCGAAUGGAUUAAGAGCUUGCUCUUAUGAAGUUAGCGGCGGACGGGUGAGUAACACGUGGGUAACCUGCCCAUAAGACUGGGAUAACUCCGGGAAACCGGGGCUAAUACCGGAUAACAUUUUGAACCGCAUGGUUCGAAAUUGAAAGGCGGCUUCGGCUGUCACUUAUGGAUGGACCCGCGUCGCAUUAGCUAGUUGGUGAGGUAACGGCUCACCAAGGCAACGAUGCGUAGCCGACCGGAGAGGGUGAUCGGCCACACUGGGACUGAGACACGUCCCAGACUCGUACGGGAGGCAGCAGUAGGGAAUCUUCCGCAAUGGACGAAAGUCUGACGGAGCAACGCCGCGUGAGUGAUGAAGGCUUUCGGGUCGUAAAACGCUGUUGUUAGGGAAGAACAAGUGCUAGUUGAAUAAGCUGGCACCUUGACGGUACCUAACCAGAAAGCCACGGCUAACUACGUGCCAGCAGCCGCGGUAA